rnacentral:misc_RNA from 1 species
AUCGAGUCUCGACCCUAGAAUUGCGUUUCUCUCGAACCUGAAAAAGAUCUCUUUUCGACAAAACCUCAUCGAUGACGCUGCCAUCGAGCCCUUCUCCGGCUGGGAAGCGUUAUCAGGCCUCGAGGAACUGGUGCUGAGGGAUAAUAAACUUACGAAAAUACCUGAUGUUAGCAUAUUCAAGAGUCUCUUGGUUUUUGAUGUUUCUUUCAAUGAAAUCGGGUCCUUGCAUGGAUUGUCCAACGUCUCCAAUACUCUGAAGGAACUCUAUGUAUCAAAAAAUGAAGUUACUAAGAUGGAGGAGAUUGACCAUCUUUAUCAGUUGCAAAUUCUGGAACUUGGUUCCAACAGAUUAAGGGUAAUGGAGAAUCUGCAUAAUUUAACAAACUUACAGGAGCUGUGGCUGGGACGGAAUCGUGUCAAAACAGUUAAUCUAUGUGGUCUGAAAUGCAU